rnacentral:rRNA from 1 species
UACGGAGGAUGCGAGCGUUAUCCGGAUUUAUUGGGUUUAAAGGGUGCGCAGGCGGCACGGCAAGCCGGCGGUCAAAUCGCGGGGCUCAAUCCCGCCCAGCCGUCGGAACUGCCGGGCUAGAGUGGGCGAGAAGUGCGCGGAAUGCGUGGUGUAGCGGUGAAAUGCAUAGAUAUCACGCAGAACUCCGAUUGCGAGGGCAGCGCACCGGCGCCCUACUGACGCUCAGGCACGAAAGCGUGGGUAUCGAACAGG